ACAGCAGUAUCGGGAGAACCAGCAUCGCUGGUGCCGAAGGAGCAACCGCCCCGGAAACUCUCAGGCCAAGGGACCUUUACUGUCAU
rnacentral:ncRNA from 2 species